CUGCAGUGAAGGGCUACUGCAUUUUUGUGACAAAUCAGGACAUAGAUGUGUAUAAUGACAAGGGUAUGACAGGUAUUACAAGGAGAAGGUGACUUUUCAGGACAUUCCCCCAUGUCCCCACUUUUCAAAACGCUUAUAAAUCACGCAGAGUGGAGUGUAUUGAAAAUCUGAAAUAGCAGAAAGUCUCCUGUAAGGGGUAGGUUUAGGUGUAGGGUUGGUGUAGGACAAUAGCACAUACAGUUUGUACAGUAUAAAAACCAUUACGCCUAUGGGAUGUCCCCACUUUUCACAAAAACAAACGUGUGUGUGUGUGUGUAAUUUAUUUAAUUUUAUUUAAUUUUUUUUUUUUUUUUUUAAAUAAUCUAAGAUGCUAGGCUACAAUCAUUACCUCAUGUUAUAUUUUUCCUGGCAAAAAAAAAAAAAUCAAUAGAUAUAAAUGUAACUUUAACUAUUUGACACCUCACGUGCAAAGCCCGCGAAAGAACCGGAGGUUAUAUAAGCUGCGGUCGUCACGUGACGCUGAGUGGACGUCGCCUGAUGGGAGAGCUUUCACGAGAUUGUCAUCCGAUUGUUCUGCUCCACAGCACAGCACAGGCUUUGGCUUUUGUGCUGGAUGGAGAAACUGAGAAGUUUAUAAACAGAAGGCAUGGAAGAAGAGAGCAGGUCCUAAAACAAAGAAAUUCUUCUUAAGGAUAAACCUGAGGUCCUGGGAGUUCUUAGAGGUUCUAAAGUGUUUUUUAUGCAUUUGUUAAUGUCAAAUUUUCAAUAAUAAAUUCAAAUAAAUUCUCAUAGUUUUUACAUUUAUAUGGUGUCAUUCUAUGGUGUGUGUAAUAUUUGUGGAAACAACAUUGUUAAAAAAAAUACUGGCUUUAAUAAUACAUUUUUUGUAGUUUUUAGAGAACCAAUUAAUUACAUGAACAGUUUUUUUUUUUCCAUGUAGGCUAUAUAUAUAUAUAUAUAUAAUAUUGUUUUGGUAAAUUUUUGUUUUGUUGUUAUUAAUUAAAUUAAUAUUGGUUUGUAUUUCAUAUACAUUUCCAUUUGGUAUCCAGACUAAUUGUAUAAUCUAUGCUGGUGUGAUUGUGGCCUGAUGCCGGCAGUGUCGGCUCAGUUUCGGCAACCGGACUCGGCCAGCGUAUUCGGGCCGAUUCUAGCGCAUCAUUCACUCCCGUAAUUCACAAGAGUCCGGCAACCGCAUCCGCA